rnacentral:lncRNA from 1 species
GGACUCCCUGCCAGUGAUUUAAGGCUGCUUCUACAGAGCUGGCGGGCCUCUAGGAGCUUGGCUAUAAGGGGUCCAUUAGCUAUGGGUGUGCCCUUGGUUCCUUCCAGAGGUCAGAAUGGAUAUAGGUUAUUAAAAAGCAUAUUUAGAGUCAGUAUAGAUGUUAGCCCUUGACCCUUGGCCAUCUGGAGUGCUCUAGUCAAGGCGAUUUAUUCAGCCUUUUGUGAAGAGUUUCCUAUUAGCAGGCGGGUUGCUCCAACCUUUUCAGUGGAAGUAACCACUGCAUACGCCACCUGGCGGUUUUCUGGUUUUCUGAUCUAUCUACAAGAGAACUUCUGUCAACAAACAGGGUGAGUUGGGGGUUUGUGAGUGGUUGGUCUAGGAGAAGAGAACAGGCUGGGGGGGGAGGGGGGAGCGGUUGGCCUCCACAGCCUCUGGGUAGGAGUGUGAGGAGGUGUCAGAGGGAGAGGGGAAGAGAGUAGGGUUGCAGGAUUUAGGGCAGGACUGGAGGCCAAGGUAAUUAAUAUGGGGGUUUUCUAGAAAAAGUAGGUGAAAGACUCGUGAGCGUCCAAGGAGGGAAACAGAAGAAUGACUCAGAAGAGAAAGUCUGAGAGGCGGUGGGUGGAAUACACUGUGAUUGGCCUGAACAAGGUGAUCUUGAGAGCCUCACGGGUGAGUUCAGCUGCUGCUGCCAGGGCUCUCAAGCAAGGCUGCCAUCCACAGACGGUGAGUUACACAGUGACAACAGUUACUGUUUGAAUGUGACCUGUGUUUGGCUGUAGGACUUCCCAGCUCCACUGGACAAUCUGUGUUUUGGAAUUUGUACACAAAGGACUGUGUGCCUGGAAGAGGAAGAGGAAGUGCUCUGGAAGAAUUUCUACUAACAUGCAAAUUUCUCAGAUUUCUGUCUGCUCCUAGAGUGGAAGGGUAGAGCUAGGAAGGCCUCUGCUGUCUGUGUCAUUUGAUCUCUGAUCGCUGAGUAGGGGAGCUGCUACUGUCUGAGCCCCAGCUAGGUGGCCAUAGCUAAUGUGGACCCUGGGAAGACUUAGCACACAGGAGUACCUGUGGGAAGUAAUUUGCAGGUUCUUUCUAGGAUUCUCCUCUGCUGUAGGGAACUGUAAGGGAAACCACAAGCCAUGUCACGGUGAGUGUGGGGACCACUGACCCCAGACUAAGCAGAGCAGUUCUGCUAAGCUGUUGGAGCUACUGUGCCUGGGAUGGCCAUGAGUCAGACUGGUUCUGUUGGUCCAUGUGGUGACCUGGGCAGUGGCCCUUCUCUGAGACUCCCUAAGUGUGGAUUCUGUGGGGGAGGGGGAGGCUUUGCUUUUAGUGGGAACUGGGAAGACAG